CCGGGAGGGGAGUGAAAUAGAUCCUGAAACCGCAUGCAUACAAACAGUGGGAGCCCGCAAGGGUGACCGCGUACCUUUUGUAUAAUGGGUCAGCGACUUACGUUCGGUAGCAAGCUUAACCGUUUAGGGAAGGCGUAGCGAAAGCGAGUCUGAACAGGGCGAUUCAGUUGCCGGAUGUAGACCCGAAACCAGAUGAUCUACCCAUGGCCAGGCUGAAGGUUGGGUAACACCAGCUGGAGGGCCGAACGAACCACUGUUGCAAAAGUGCGUCGAUGAGCUGUGGGUAGGGGUGAAAGGCCAAACAAAUCUGGAAAUAGCUGGUUCUCCCCGAAAACUAUUGAGGUAGUGCCUCGUGAUACACCGUCGGGGGUAGAGCACUGUUAUGGCUAGGGGGGCAUGGCGCCUUACCAAACCAUGGCAAACUCCGAAUACCGACGAGUGAUUUCACGGGAGACAGUGCACCGGGUGCUAACGUCCGGACACGAGAGGGAAACAACCCAGACCGCCAGCUAAGGUCCCGAAGUGCAGUUAAGUGGUAAACGAAGUGGGAAGGCAUAAACAGCCAGGAGGUUGGCUUAGAAGCAGCCAUCCUUUAAAGAAAGCGUAAUAGCUCACUGGUCGAGUCCUCCCGCGCGGAAGAUGUAACGGGGCUCAAGCUAGUAGCCGAAGAUGCGGAUUCGAGCGCAAGCUCGAGUGGUAGGGGAGCGUUCCGUACGCCUGCGAAGGCGGAUCGUAAGGUCCGCUGGAGGUAUCGGAAGUGCGAAUGCUGACAUGAGUAGCGUUAAAGCGGGUGAAAAGCCCGCUCGCCGUAAGCCCAAGGUUUCCUGCGCCACGUUCAUCGGCGCAGGGUGAGUCGGCCCCUAAGGCGAGGCCGAAAGGCGUAGCUGAUGGAAAACAGGUCAAUAUUCCUGUACCUCGCCAUGAUGCGAUGAGGGGACGGAGAAGGUUAUGCAGGCCGGGUGUUGGAUGUCCCGGUUUAAGCGUGUAGGCGUGCCGCGUAGGCAAAUCCGCGUGGCUUAGCUGAGGCGCGAUGACGACUGCCCUUCGGGGCGGGAAGCUGCAGAUGCCAUGCUUCCAGGAAAAGCCUCUAAGCUUCAGUCACGGUGAGACCGUACCGCAAACCGACACUGGUGGGCGAGAUGAAUAUUCUCAGGCGCUUGAGAGAACUCAGGAGAAGGAACUCGGCAAAUUGACACCGUAACUUCGGAAGAAGGUGUGCCCCUAGUAGGUGAAGGCGUACAGCCGGAGCCCAAUGGGGCCGCAGAGAAUCGGUGGCUGCGACUGUUUAUUAAAAACACAGCACUCUGCCAACACGAAAGUGGAUGUAUAGGGUGUGACGCCUGCCCGGUGCCGGAAGGUUAAGUGAUGGGGUGCAAGCUCCUGAUCGAAGCCCCGGUAAACGGCGGCCGUAACUAUAACGGUCCUAAGGUAGCGAAAUUCCUUGUCGGGUAAGUUCCGACCUGCACGAAUGGCGUAACGCUGGCCACACUGUCUCCUCCCGAGACUCAGCGAAGUUGAAAUGGUUGUGAUGAUGCAAUCUACCCGCGGCUAGACGGAAAGACCCCGUGCACCUUUACUGUAGCUUUGCAUUGGACUGUGAACCGAUCUGUGUAGGAUAGCUGGGAGGCUUUGAAGUGGGGGCGCUAGCUCUCAUGGAGCCGUCGUUGAAAUACCAGCCUGACCUGUUUGCGGUUCUAACCUUGGCUCGUAAUCCGGGUCGGGGACCGUGCAUGGUAGGCAGUUUGACUGGGGCGGUCUCCUCCCAAAGAGUAACGGAGGAGUACGAAGGUACGCUUAGCACGGUCGGAAAUCGUGCUUCAAUGUGCAUAGGCAAAAGCGUGCUUGACUGCGAGACUGACAAGUCGAGCAGGUGCGAAAGCAGGUCUAAGUGAUCCGGUGGUUCUGUAUGGAAGGGCCAUCGCUCAACGGAUAAAAGGUACGCCGGGGAUAACAGGCUGAUCUCCCCCAAGAGUUCAUAUCGACGGGGAGGUUUGGCACCUCGAUGUCGGCUCAUCACAUCCUGGGGCUGUAGCCGGUCCCAAGGGUAUGGCUGUUCGCCAUUUAAAGUGGUACGUGAGCUGGGUUUA
rnacentral:rRNA from 1 species